rnacentral:misc_RNA from 1 species
GCACUGCCAAUAGGCCAAUGGGUGCUGGUGAAGCCCUGCGGAGAGUGCUGGAGUGCCUGGCAUCCGGCAUCGUAAUGCCAGAUGGUUCUGGCAUUU